CCUACGGGUGGCAGCAGUGGGGGAUAUUGCACAAUGGGGGGAACCCUGAUGCAGCGACGCCGCGUGGGUGAAGAAGCGCCUCGGCGCGUAAAGCCCUGUCAGCAGGGAAGAAAAUGACGGUACCUGAAGAAGAAGCCCAGGCUAACUAGGUGCCAGCAGCGGCGGUAAUACGUAGGAGGCAAGCGUUAUCCGGAUUGACUGGGUGUAAAGGGGGCGUAGACGGGGUUGCAAGCCAGGAGUGAAAGCCCCGGGCCCAACCCCGGGACUGCUCUUGGAACUGCGUGGCUGGAGUGCAGGAGGGGCAGGCGGAAUUCCUGGUGUAGCGGUGAAAUGCUUAGAUAUCAGGAGGAACACCAGUGGCGAAGGCGGCCUACUAGACUGCAACUGACGUUGAGGCCCGAAAGCGUGGGGAGCAAACAGGAUUAGAUACCCUUGUAGUC
rnacentral:rRNA from 1 species